GGAGAGGGGGAAGAAAGGAAGUCCUGUGUUUUAACACUUUCACCUUCCCAGUAGACAUUGCCAAAAGGCCACAGUCUUUGGAUUGCUUUCCUGUUUUCAAGUGCCAGAAAUUUGAUAUAGUGUUAUUUCAUGGUUUGCUGAACAUGGGCAGAAUUGCAACCAGCGGUGCAUUUUUGCAAAAUCCGCGUAACCCUCCCUUGAUUUUAUGCUGCUUCAGAAUCCAGUGAAACAGCUUAAUUCUUUCUCUGUAUCAUGAUGACAUAUCACAAGCAAUGUUACCAGGAGACCAAAAUAUCACUGGAAUAGACAAAAAAUAUUAAGAUGAAUAUAUCUAUUGAUUGAUUAUGUUGCUUUUUUUUUUUUCCUUUUCAAAUAAAAUAAUAGUAUUAAAUAAUACUGUAACAUUUAAUACAUCCAAACACACUAAAAAUGAACAAUUGCUCUAAAGGCAAGAGAUGAAAGCUAGAUUUUCCCCAAAGACAGGCUGCUGUCAGUUCUUGCAUUUCUGUUUAUGGAUAUACGCUUGAAAUGACUGCUCUUGUUAAGAGAGUAGCAGGCUGCUCUGGGUUCAGCAGUGAGCUUUAGGCUGAAGAAUAGACAGUGUGUUGGUAACAGUAACUAACAACAGCAACCAUUAAGCAGACCCUACCAAAGGGUAAUAUGGUCUUGAUUUUGGGAAGGAUAUUGGAUCUGCCCCUUGUGCAUAUGGGUGUAGCUCCACUGAAAAUAGUUGUACUCUAUCAGUCAGCGUUGAGAUUUGGGCCUACUGCUUUCAGUACACCAGUGGGAGCUUAAAGUGGGCUCAGGCAUCAUCUCCUCUUCUCUCAGCACCUGGCAGAAAGGAGAGAGAGGUCUCAGGAAGCUGGGAGUUGCAGGGUUUAUCUGCUGAGCACAGCUGCGUGUAGAGCAGGCUCCAGCAGGAGCAGUGCUGGUGCUAGCUCUGAUGCCCCACAGGAAGGAGCCACAGCCACCUAGCAUCAGGCAGCAGUGCAAAUCUGCAAGAAGAGCCUGCGAAGCUGGCCAGACAGAUCUAAACUCCAUGUUAGUCGAACUGCAUCACUCCCACACCUUUUCCAGCUACCUAAAAAAUAAUGCUUCCCAUCUCUUUUGCUGCUGCUCUUCAACACCCAGGUACCAGUUGACUUCUCGACUUCUCUGUUUGUGAUAUGUCUGUUUCCUACCACUUUUUUUUUUUCAUCCUUGUGUGCUGGUGUGUGUCAAGGGGCAAGCAUACGUGCAAUUAGGCAGAGAUCAUUGCUGUGCCCCAGUGCAGGUUUUAGUCCAUGCCUGAGAACAUGGUAAUGACUAGAAAAAUUGUGCUAGCAGUAAUGAAGCCUGUAACAUCUUUGCUUCAGUAUUCUGUUAGCUUUAAUUCUAAUAUUCACCUUAAAGCCCCCAAAGCUUACCUGUUCAGAAGGAUGAAUAAAUGAAUUGAUUGAUUAGUCA
rnacentral:lncRNA from 1 species